AUUUCUGAGCUGGCUGGGGGUGAACCCAGAGCUCUUGCUGUGAGCAAGUCUAGGAAAGUUCAGGCCUAGUGUGUUAGCUGGUUUUCCUUGGUUAUUUUUAUUUGGGGUUUUAUGUUAAUUUCUGGAGGAUUGAAAGAUUUUCCUUACAGUAUUUUUAUUCAGUAAUUGAAGUAGAAGGUAUCUAUUUCUCACUAAAGAAGGAAGCGAUGUCGAUGUAUAAAUGGAGUUCUUCCUGCUUCCCUGGGGUUUCAGGCACUUUCCAGCUCUGAACCUGCCGGUGUUCUGCAUGUGAAAACCUGCUUUGCAGAUGGUAGUUCAGUCCUGUUCUCUGCAAAUCCCCCUGUUGGUGGUGGGACUGGGAUAUGAAUGUUAACAAGGGCUCUUUUGGAAAGGCACUAGUGCAGCGUGAGAUGGUCCUUGGAUUUCAUAAGUUGGUGGCAGUGCUGCCAACCCAAAUAAUCCUUCAGUGAGCCCUUUGUGUUACAGCACAGAGCAGUGAGAGUAUCUCUGUUUGCAUAUCACCGAUGGCAGCUGCCGACAGCUGGACAAAGUGCCAUCACUGCCACAGCACAGAGCCAUUCCCCCUCCUGUGGAAGAUGUGUACCCAAGAAUCUUCAGAAGAUGGCCACCGACUUUGUUGUCCCAAAGGAACGUUAUCCCAAAAGAUGUGGGUACCACUAACCCUGCUAGUCUGAAGAACUGUGGAUGUGUGGGAAAUAAAACAUAGCCCUGCAAGGAAGCGUUUCUUGCCACGGGCCUGGGCUGGAGAACGCUUCUCUCGUCCAAGGGAAUCCCUCCUGCUCAUCCCUGAGCUCCCAGGCUGCUGGCUGUGACCCAGGGACGAUCUCCUCCUCCAGCAGUGUGGCUGUGGGACGUCUGGCCUUCAGGAAAUGAGCUUGUAAAGAAUUAACUGCAGGUCCUUGUGGAGAAAUACGGGUCCUCAUGGAGAAGUACAUCCUCCGUGUCCCUGCGUGCUCCUGACAGCUUGCCCAGGAACACCUGAGCUGUGCUCAGUGUUAGCCCAGCCACUUUACAGCUUGCAGCGUGGACAGGACUGGAGUUUUCUUCCAGCAAGAUGCUGCUGCUGCUGCAGCAGAUAUUUAAAGAUGUUGCGGUUGCACUGUGAACUUAACCUCCCGACAAAGUGGUUUUCAGCUGCUGGCAGGUUCUGUAGCAGCAGCAAAGGCCUCAUGUUCCCCACAUGCUGUAGUGCAGCCUGUGGGACUCCAAGAGCUGCCUUUUCAUCAGGAGAGGAUGUCCUUGUUUGCUGGGUUAUCAGGGCUGAUGGGCUUUUCUGGCCUUAAGCGAGGUGAUCACAAGAGGCUGGGGGAGAUAAGUCAUUCACAUAGUCUGGUUUUGUUAAGCUUUAAAGUAUACAGGUUCCUCUUUGCCCAUUUUCUUUCCUUCCCUAGGCAGAAUCCUGGCCUCGAGUGAGAUUUUAUUUCCUUGUGCUGCAACCCAGUGACACAGAAUUUUCCAGCAAAAAACAAAAAGGGAUCCGCCUUUUAUUUUUGAUUUAGCUGGGGCUGUGUGUAGACUUGCAUGUGUAAUGUUGACUGCAAGUGCAAUUUGAGACAACCGAACCUUCCUAGCUGUUGCUGGGUAUAUGCAGUGUGCCAGCAGAGAUUAAAGAUCCUCCCCAUGGCUGUUGCUGCCCAGGGUCUGCCAUUUCUCCACCCAUUAAAUGUGCCACAUUUUUUAUUGAAUGCUUACACCACAACACUGAGAGGAAACAAAUACAAAACGGGCACAAUGAAUCAUGGCUCUCAUAGCCUCCGUUGGCCCCAGGAGGUGGAUCAGGCUGGCCAAGGAGGAAACGCAUUGGCUUAACUGCUGUUUUUUCUUCACUUUUGCCCAGAAAGUGUACCCAUGGGAAUGCGGACAGUAGGAAGCAUCUUGUUCUUAUGAGAUCCAGGAUGCAGCAGGGAGCUGGCACCGUGCCUGGGACAAACUCUGUUUCUUUAGGGCAAAAACUCAGCCAUUGGGGUACAUGAGUCAACAGUGGCAGCCUCCUAUGGGAGCAGUGUGGGACAUGGAGGCUAUGGGAGAUGUGUGGAUGUGCCGUGCCAGCAGGGAUGGUGGAGCUCGGUGUUGUGACCCACGGGGACAAGCUGGGCGGACUGGCGCUGCCAAAUGCAGAGGGAAGCAAGGGAGGUGAAUAAAGCUUUCAGUAUAUAACAGACUGCCACAGUGUACAACAAUAAACUGCUCUUCGU
rnacentral:lncRNA from 7 species